rnacentral:rRNA from 1 species
UACGUAGGGGUCGAGCGUUGUCCGGAGUUACUGGGCGUAAAGCGCGUGCAGGUGGCUCAUUACGCCCGGCGUGAAAGCCCCCGGCUCAACCGGGGAGGGUCGUCGGGGACGGGUGAGCUUGAGGGUCGCAGGGGCUGGUAGAAUUCCCGGUGUAGUGGUGAAAUGCGUAGAGAUCGGGAGGAAUACCCGUGGCGAAGGCGGCCAGCUGGGCGACACCUGACACUGAGACGCGAAGGCGUGGGGAGCGAACGGG